rnacentral:rRNA from 1 species
GACGAACGCUGGCGGCGUGCCUAAUACAUGCAAGUCGAACGCACAGUUUAUACCGUAGCUUGCUACACCAUAGACUGUGAGUUGCGAACGGGUGAGUAACGCGUAGGUAACCUGCCUGGUAGCGGGGGAUAACUAUUGGAAACGAUAGCUAAUACCGCAUCAUAUUAAUUAUUGCAUGAUAAUUAAUUGAAAGGUGCAAUUGCACCACUACCAGAUGGACCUGCGUUGUAUUAGCUAGUAGGGGAGGUAACGGCGCACCUAGGCGACGAAACAUAGCCGACCUGGGAGGGUGAUCGGCCCAACCGGGACCUGGACCCGGCCCAGACCCCUACGGGGGGCAGCAGGAGGGAAUUUUCGGACAUGGACGGAAGUCUGACCGCGCAACGCCGCGGGGGUGAAGGAGGUUCUCGGAUCGUAAAGCUCCGUUGUAAGGGAAGAACGGGUGUGAGAGUGGAAAGUUCACAUUGUGACGGUAUCUAACCAGAAAGGGACGGCUAACUACGUG